rnacentral:rRNA from 1 species
GAUGAACGCUGGCGGCGUGCCUAAUACAUGCAAGUCGAGCGAACAGACGAGGAGCUUGCUCCUCUGACGUUAGCGGCGGACGGGUGAGUAACACGGGGAUAACCUACCUAUAAGACUGGGAUAACUUCGGGAAACCGGAGCUAAUACCGGAUAAUAUAGUGAACCGCAUGGUUCAAUAGUGAAAGACGGGUUUGCUGUCACUUAUAGAUGGAUCCGCGCCGCAUUAGCUAGUUGGUAAGGUAACGGCUUACCAAGGCAACGAUGCGUAGCCGACCUGAGAGGGUGCUCGCCCGCACUGGAACUGAGACGCGCUCCAGACUCCUACGGGAGGCCGCAGUAGGGAAUCUUCCGCAGAGGGCGAAAGCCUGACGGAGCAACGCCGCGUGAGUGAUGAAGGUCUUCGGAUCGUAAAACUCUGUUAUUAGGGAAGAACAAAUGUGUAAGUAACUAUGCACGUCUUGACGGUACCUAAUCAGAAAGCCACGGCUAACUACGUG